rnacentral:rRNA from 1 species
UGGGGAAUUUUGGACAAUGGGGGCAACCCUGAUCCAGCCAUGCCGCGUGCAGGAUGAAGGCCUUCGGGUUGUAAACUGCUUUUGUCAGGGACGAAAAGGACCGUGUUAAUACCAUGGUCUGCUGACGGUACCUGAAGAAUAAGCACCGGCUAACUACGUGCCAGCAGCCGCGGUAAUACGUAGGGUGCAAGCGUUAAUCGGAAUUACUGGGCGUAAAGCGUGCGCAGGCGGUUCUGUAAGACAGAUGUGAAAUCCCCGGGCUCAACCUGGGAAUUGCAUUUGUGACUGCAGGACUAGAGUUCAUCAGAGGGGGGUGGAAUUCCAAGUGUAGCAGUGAAAUGCGUAGAUAUUUGGAAGAACACCAAUGGCGAAGGCAGCCCCCUGGGAUGCGACUGACGCUCAUGCACGAAAGCGUGGGGAGCAAACAG